rnacentral:rRNA from 1 species
GGAUUAGGCAUGCAAGUCGAACGAGAAAGUUCCCUUUCGGGGGAUGAGUAAAGUGGCGAACGGGUGAGUAAGGCGUAAAUGACCUACCUUCGCGACGGGGAUAACAGCUCGAAAGGGCUGCUAAUACCGGAUACGUUCCUGGAGCUGCGGCUUUGGGAGUAAAGAUGGCCUCUGCUUGCAAGCUGUCGCGUGGAGAGGGGUUUACGUACUAUUAGCUUGUUGGUGGGGUAACGGCCCACCAAGGCUAUGAUGGUUAGCCGGCCUGAGAGGGUGUCCGGCCACACUGGGACUGAGACACUGCCCAGACUCCUACGGGAGGCUGCAGUCGAGAAUCUUCCACCAAUGCGCGAAAGCGUGAUGGAGCGACGCCGCGUGUGUGAUGAAGGCCCUCGGGUUGUAAAGCACUGUCAGAUAGUUCUAAUCCCCCGGAUUUAAUACGUCUCGGGGUUGAAGCGCUAUCAGAGGAAGCACCGGCUAAAUCCGUGCCAGCAGCCGCGGUAAUACGGAUGGUGCGAGCGUUAAUCGGAAUCACUGGGCAUAAAGAGCACGUAGGCGGCGGCGUAAGUCAGUGGUGAAAUCCCCCGGCUCAACCGGGGAACGGCCAUUGAUACUGCGUUGCUAGAGUGCGGGAGGGGCAGACGGAAUUCCAGGUGGAGCGGUGAAAUGCGUAGAUAUCUGGAGGAACGCCAGGGGCGAAAGCGGUCUGCUGGCCCGCAACUGACGCUGAGGUGCGAAAGCUAGGGGAGCAAACAGGAUUAGAUACCCUGGUAGUCCUAGCCGUAAACGAUGGGCACUAAGUAGAGGAGUUUU